rnacentral:rRNA from 1 species
GACGAACGCUGGCGGCGUGCUUGACACAUGCAAGUCGAACGGAAAGGCCUCUUUCGGGGGGUACUCGAGUGGCGAACGGGUGAGUAACACGUGAGUAACCUGCCCUUGACUUUGGGAUAACUUCAGGAAACUGGGGCUAAUACCGGAUAGGAGCUCCUGCUGCAUGGUGGGGGUUGGAAAGUUUCGGCGGUUGGGGAUGGACUCGCGGCUUAUCAGCUUGUUGGUGGGGUAGUGGCUUACCAAGGCUUUGACGGGUAGCCGGCCUGAGAGGGUGACCGGCCACAUUGGGACUGAGAUACGGCCCAGACUCCUACGGGAGGCAGCAGUGGGGAAUAUUGCACAAUGGGUGGAAGCCUGAUGCAGCAACGCCGUGUGCGGGAUGACGGCCUUCGGGUUGUAAACCGCUUUCGCUCAUGACGAAGCUUUGUGUGACGGUAGUGGGUAAAGAAGCACCGGCUAACUACGUG